AUUGAACGCUGGCGGCAGGCCUUACACAUGCAAGUCGAGCGGAAACAGGGUGCGCUCACCUGUGGCGAGCGGCGGACGGAUGUAUCAUGACUAGCACACUGCCUGGGGGUGGGGGCUCGCAUGCGGAAAUGGGCCCUAAUACCGCCUACGGCCUGAGGGGGGGAAUGGGGAAUCUUCGGCCCUCUCGAUCUGCGAUGAGCCUAUUUCGGAUUAGCUAGUUGGUGGGGUAAAGGCUCACCAAGGCGACGAUCUGUAGCUGGUCUGAGAGGAUGAUCAGUCACACUGGGACUGAGACACGGUCCAGACUCCUACGGGAGGCAGCAGUGGGGAAUUUUGGACAAUGGGCGCAAGCCUGAUCCAGCCAUGCCGCGUGUGUGAAGAAGGUCUUCGGAUUGUAAAGCGCUUUUGGUAGGGAAGAAAAGGAUCAAGCUAAUACCUUGGUGUCUUGACGGUACCAGAAGAAUAAGCACCGGCUAACUUCGUG
rnacentral:rRNA from 1 species